UUAAAAUUUCAUAAUAAAAAUAAAUAGUUUCAUUUACUAAUGUCAUAACAUUAUUCAUGAAGUUGGAACAGUACAGAGCUUCUAAAAUUUAAUUAUUACAUAACAUUUUCAGUUACCCCAACCCUGAAUAAUACCAAGCUCCCUGCUCCUAGUAGUCUUAUUCAUCUGUAGAAAAAAAAUAGAUGCAAAGAUAUGAGCUACACAGCUCAGUAAGUAACCAAGUACUAUCUUAUUGGAUCAAAUACAAUUAUGCUAAUACAGUAAUUAAAAAGCUAUCAGUUGUAGCAAAAUAAAAUAUUUUAUAGAUGAUAUACACAAAUCAGGUCAUAAAGCAGUGCAUGUUCCAUCUAUGAAAGUUCAUAAUCAUGAUAAUGCAAGUCAUAUUGAAAUAUUGCCAUUUAUCCAUACUUUAUAAAACAUACUCUCAGACGGAUGUGCUGCUAUGGUCACUAUAAUCCCGUGACAGGGCCUGUUAAUCUUAGUCGACUAAUUCUGUUAUUCGUUACCAACUUUAAUCCGUUGGCAAAGGGCCUGUUAUUCUUUGGAUGCUAGCUUCAGGGUGUCGACUGGCCUUUAUUUCUAAAGGCGGUCAUAGCUAUCUGAGAGUUUAUAAAUCAUAUUCUUUUUCUUUCAUAAAUCAUAAUCAUCAUAAAUAGGUUGAAAAAUGAUAAAUGACAUUAUAUAAUUUAAAAUGUAUAAACAUGCUUCAAAUAUCAUUUUUCAUGCAGUCUAAUAUAAUCAUAAUUUCAUAACUCAUACAUCAUCAAAUAUUCAUGAAGGAUGCUCUUUAAUCAAAUUCAUGUAUCACAUGCAAUCAUAUACUUGAUCCUAAUUUUGAGGAAAAUAUAUCAUAACCAAUACAUUUUCAUAAUGAUGAAUAAACAGUAAUUUAAAAACUUUAAGAUCAGUGCCAAGUUUACUUACAGCAAUUUGUUUUCCAAUUUCUUACGUCCGGGUGACAAAUCUUUGAUCACCUAAAUAAAUCACAUAGGGGUCACAUUAUUCUCUAUUUAUUUCAUAAUUUUCUAAUUUAUCAUAACAUGAAUUUACUUGCUUGGAUCUCAAGUCCAAUUUA
rnacentral:lncRNA from 1 species